UUGUGGAGGAGGACGCCGAAGGUGGGGCUAAUGACUGGGGUGAAGUCGUAACAAGGUAGCCGUACCGGAAGGUGCGGCUGGAUCACCUCCUAACAGGGAGACAACAAAAUGUUUAAUAUUAUUAUUUUGUCACCUUAGGUCGAUCGGUAUCUCACGUUUUUAAUUUAUUAAGAAUUUCAUUUCCUAAGUUUUUCUAGGUCACACCCAUUAUUUUUCCUGGGCCAUUAGCUCAGGUGGUUAGAGCGCACCCCUGAUAAGGGUGAGGUCCCUGGUUCAAGUCCAGGAUGGCCCAUAUCUCUAUGUUGGGGGUAUAGCUCAGUUGGUAGAGCGCCUGCUUUGCAAGCAGGAUGUCAGCGGUUCGAGUCCGCUUACCUCCACUGAUUACCACCUCUUCCAUAACCGGUAGUAAAGGAAAUGUUUUGAGUUGUGAUCAAAUUCUGAAAGAAUCUAGCCUCCUAAUGAAAUCAUUAAGAUGCUGGACUCAUUGAAUUAAUUUCAUUGUUUUCAGAGAACCUUGACAACUGCAUAGAUUAUUUUUAAAGACAAUAAGCAUCAUUAAUGAUGCAGAUUUAUUAUUUGUGCGAAUGCAUUAAUAACAAUUCUAUUAAGCUGAUGCUUCAAUUUUUGAAGUUAUUGGUCAAGCUACAA
rnacentral:misc_RNA from 1 species